rnacentral:lncRNA from 1 species
UAAUCCAAUUUGGCAAGGAAAAAAAAUAGAAUAAACUUCAAAUACCGCCCAUGUGAUUUUGCACCUUCUCACUUUAGUAUCCUGUAAUUUAAAGUGUAUCAAUUUAGUACCUUGUAGUUUUUUUUUUUUCUUUUUAUCAGACUCUGCUAACAUUUCGUUAAAUUAUAUACAACAAACUUCAGAUAUCUCACCUAGAUUUAUCGAGUAGUCAUUUUAGUACAUUUUAGUUUUAAUUUUGUCACUGAUUUAACAAAAAAAUUAGUAAAGGGGAUAAUAAAAAGAGAAAAAUGAAACCACGACGAAAUUGAUAUACUUUAAACCAUAGGGUACUAAAAUAAAAAAGUGUGAAACUACAGCAAUAACGUUUGAAGCUUUUCUAAAAAAAGAAAGAAGAAUUAUUGUAUUUAGGACUGGAAUUGAGGGCGGUUUAGAUUGGGUCAUAUUAUGCCCAAGUCUGGCCCCAAAAAUUUAUAGAGCUUCGGUACUAACCAUCAUCAAUAUUCAACUCAAUCUCGAAAUAUCGAAGUUGUAAUUAUUAUUCAUAAAAAAUAAUUUUAUUUAUUAGCCAAAAGACAUUUAGGGUGUGUUUGGUUCGCAUUAUGAAAGAUUACUAGGAAUAAAAGAUAUUCGAGAAUCUUAUUCCUAUUCAUUCUAUUACUAAGAAUAUGGAAUUUUUGUGUUUAGUUCGCACGGUAAUAUUAAUUAGCCAUGUUAUUUAAUAUUGUAAAAAAUAUACAAUUAAUUAAUUAAUUUAUUUAUUUAAUUUUAGAUAAUGUUACCAAAAGUUUCAACAUCUUUUUAGAAAAAAGGGAGAGAGAGUAUAAGUUAGAGAGAGAGCAUAAUAAAAAAAAUAGAAAGAAAAAUAUAGUCGAAAUUAGAGGGAGUGAGAGAGUUGAAAUUUUAGAAAGAGAGAGAGAGCUUAGUUUAGAGAAAGAAAAAAAAAGUUGAAUUUUAGAGAGAAAAAUAAGUUUAGAGAGAGAUAUAAGGUUAGAAUGUAAAGAAAAAUAAUAUCAAUUAGCCGGCGAGUAGGAAGAAAGAAAGAGAUUAGACAUAUUAUGAUUACCCUAAUCCAUUAAUAUGAGGAUACCCACCCUCCCUCAAGGGAAUGAGAUUAGUACUUUGGGGUGAAUCAUAUUCCCAAGUGAAUCCAAUAUUACCAACUAGAUUACUUAGUGCGUUUAGCCAAAUACCGUCAUAUUUUUUUAUUCCCAUUGGAUUACUAGGAAUCUUUAAAAGAUAGCGCGAACCAAACGCACCCUUAGAUUAUCAAUAAAAUCAACAAAAACAAACAAACAACUAAAUAGUUAAUUAAAAUCAA